rnacentral:rRNA from 1 species
GGCAGGAGGACAUACCGCGUGAGGGAUGAGGCUCAUGGGUUGUAAACCUCUUUUUUCAGGGAGGAAUUCAUGACGUGUACCUGAAGAAUAAGCAUCGGCUAACUCCGUGCCAGCAGCCGCGGUAAGACGGAGGAUGCAAGUGUUAUCCGGAAUCACUGGGCGUAAAGCGUCUGUAGGUGGUUUAACAAGUCAACUGUUAAAUCUUGAAGCUCAACUUCAAAAUCGCAGUCGAAACUAUUAGACUAGAGUAUAGUAGAGGUAAAGGGAAUUUCCAGUGGAGCGGUGAAAUGCGUAGAGAUUGGAAAGAACACCGAUGGCGAAAGCACUUUACUGGGCUAUUACUGACACUGAGAGACGAAAGCUAGGGUAGCAAAAGGGAUUAGAUACCCAUGAAUCAAAGGU